AGAGUUUGAUCAUGGCUCAGAUUGAACGCUGGCGGCAGGCUUAACACAUGCAAGUCGAGCGGAGAUGAGGUGCUUGCACCUUAUCUUAGCGGCGGACGGGUGAGUAAUGCUUAGGAAUCUGCCUAUUAGUGGGGGACAACAUUCCGAAAGGAAUGCUAAUACCGCAUACGCCCUACGGGAGAAAGCAGGGGAUCUUCGGACCUUGCGCUAAUAGAUGAGCCUAAGUCGGAUUAGCUAGUUGGUGGGGUAAAGGCCUACCAAGGCGACGAUCUGUAGCGGGUCUGAGAGGAUGAUCCGCCACACUGGGACUGAGACACGGCCCAGACUCCUACGGGAGGCAGCAGUGGGGAAUAUUGGACAAUGGGGGGAACCCUGAUCCAGCCAUGCCGCGUGUGUGAAGAAGGCCUUAUGGUUGUAAAGCACUUUAAGCGAGGAGGAGGCUACUGAGACUAAUACUCUUGGAUAGUGGACGUUACUCGCAGAAUAAGCACC
rnacentral:rRNA from 1 species